rnacentral:rRNA from 1 species
UGAAGAGUUUGAUCAUGGCUCAGAUUGAACGCUGGCGGCAGGCCUAACACAUGCAAGUCGAACGGUAACAGGAAGCAGCUUGCUGCUUUGCUGACGAGUGGCGGACGGGUGAGUAAUGUCUGGGAAACUGCCUGAUGGAGGGGGAUAACUACUGGAAACGGUGGCUAAUACCGCAUAACGUCGCAAGACCAAAGAGGGGGACCUUCGGGCCUCUUGCCAUCAGAUGUGCCCAGAUGGGAUUAGCUUGUUGGUGAGGUAACGGCUCACCAAGGCGACGAUCCCUAGCUGGUCUGAGAGGAUGACCAGCCACACUGGAACUGAGACACGGUCCAGACUCCUACGGGAGGCAGCAGUGGGGAAUAUUGCACAAUGGGCGCAAGCCUGAUGCAGCCAUGCCGCGUGUAUGAAGAAGGCCUUCGGGUUGUAAAGUACUUUCAGCGGGGAGGAAGGUGUUGUGGUUAAUAACCGCAGCAAUUGACGUUACUCGCAGAAGAAGCACCGGCUAACUCCGUGCCAGCAGCCGCGGUAAUACGGAGGGUGCAAGCGUUAAUCGGAAUUACUGGGCGUAAAGCGCACGCAGGCGGUCUGUCAAGUCGGAUGUGAAAUCCCCGGGCUCAACCUGGGAACUGCAUUCGAAACUGGCAGGCUUGAGUCUUGUAGAGGGGGGUAGAAUUCCAGGUGUAGCGGUGAAAUGCGUAGAGAUCUGGAGGAAUACCGGUGGCGAAGGCGGCCCCCUGGACAAAGACUGACGCUCAGGUGCGAAAGCGUGGGGAGCAAACAGGAUUAGAUACCCUGGUAGUCCACGCCGUAAACGAUGUCUACUUGGAGGUUGUGCCCUUGAGGCGUGGCUUCCGGAGCUAACGCGUUAAGUAGACCGCCUGGGGAGUACGGCCGCAAGGUUAAAACUCAAAUGAAUUGACGGGGGCCCGCACAAGCGGUGGAGCAUGUGGUUUAAUUCGAUGCAACGCGAAGAACCUUACCUGGUCUUGACAUCCACGGAAGUUUUCAGAGAUGAGAAUGUGCCUUCGGGAACCGUGAGACAGGUGCUGCAUGGCUGUCGUCAGCUCGUGUUGUGAAAUGUUGGGUUAAGUCCCGCAACGAGCGCAACCCUUAUCCUUUGUUGCCAGCGGUCCGGCCGGGAACUCAAAGGAGACUGCCAGUGAUAAACUGGAGGAAGGUGGGGAUGACGUCAAGUCAUCAUGGCCCUUACGACCAGGGCUACACACGUGCUACAAUGGCGCAUACAAAGAGAAGCGACCUCGCGAGAGCAAGCGGACCUCAUAAAGUGCGUCGUAGUCCGGAUUGGAGUCUGCAACUCGACUCCAUGAAGUCGGAAUCGCUAGUAAUCGUGGAUCAGAAUGCCACGGUGAAUACGUUCCCGGGCCUUGUACACACCGCCCGUCACACCAUGGGAGUGGGUUGCAAAAGAAGUAGGUAGCUUAACCUUCGGGAGGGCGCUUACCACUUUGUGAUUCAUGACUGGGGUGAAGUCGUAACAAGGUAACCGUAGGGGAACCUGCGGUUGGA